AAAUAUAAGACAAUAUUAUAUAAUCCAGAUUAAUCCAAUCUAAUACAAUCCUAAUAAUUAGUCCAAUAACAUAAGGCAAAGAGUUGUAUUGAGGGCUACAAUAGUAUCAAACUCAUAAAUCAAUGAAAUAUUUUUUGUCAUUAAGUGUAAAGUGCUAGUAAAUAACAAAUAAAAUAAUAUGAGGGUAGAUCUUGAUACACAUGGCUAUACAUAAAAAUAAAGUCAGACAUAAGUACAAAUAGAAACUUACUGCUUAAUUUUUUUUCCCCAAAAAAUCUGAUAGGUAGGAGAGAUGUCUACUCAUACUAAUUAUAUAAUUGAGGAAGAAAUAGUUUAAGGGUAUGUUCACUUCUCAGUUUGAAAAAUUGGAAUCCGAAAUUGAAACUGUUGAUAGCGUUUGCUUCAUAAAAUAAGAGUGGGAAUCGAAAUUGGAAAUGUGCGGGGCCCAUAAAUUUGGGAAUCAUUCUCAUUGAUUUCAUUUCGAGGGGUUGGGAAUCGGAGUAUAUCCAUUUUACCCCUAUUGAAUUUUCAGAAUCCCCAUAUUGCUUGCAAUCAAGUUCUGUCAUUUUUGCAUUCUGGUCCAUGCAGAACUUAUAAAACCAUCCAAAAUUUUUGUAUUAUUUACAAAUAGGCCCUUUAUUAUUUAUUAGCAAUAAUAAAAAUCAAAAUGAUGAUGAUGAUCAUGAUGUUGUCGUCAUUAUUAUUAAUACCAUUAUUGUUAUAAAUAUUAAACAAUAUUAUCAUUCGUAUACCCUAUAAAUGCUCUAUUAUUAAAAAUACUACAACACUUUGAGGGUGUAUCAAUCGUCCACCAUAAAUUGACAAAAGCUAUCUGCCGACUAUCAAACCGUUAGCUGUCGUUUGAAAGUUAACGGAAUUAUAACGAAUUGACGAUUUUACCCUUGAAAAGUAUCACUUGUAUACCCUUAAAUUUUUUUAUUAUCACUUGUAUACCCUUAAAUUAUCACUUGUAUCAUAUGAAAAGACCAAAUUACCCCUCUGGCAUUAUCCUAUUUAAACGGCAAGUAACGGCUUGGUGGACGACAGAUACAUUUUGUCAACUUAGGGUAGACGAUUGAUACACCCUCAAAGUGUCGUAGUAUAUUACUAUUUAUUGUUAAUAUUUAAUAUUAUUUUAAUUAUGACUA
rnacentral:lncRNA from 1 species